AUUGAACGCUGGCGGCAGGCUUAACACAUGCAAGUCGAGCGGAAACGAUGAUAGCUUGCUAUCAGGCGUCGAGCGGAGGACGGGUGAGUAAUGCAUGGGAAUCUGCCCGAUAGAGGGGGAUAGCCCGGGGAAACCCGGAUUAAUACCGCAUACACCCUACGGGGAAAAGCAGGGGAUCUUCGGACCUUGCGCUAUCGGAUGAGCCCAUGUCGGAUUAGCUAGUUGGUGAGGUAAGAGCUCACCAAGGCGACGAUCCGUAGCUGGUCUGAGAGGAUGAUCAGCCACAUUGGGACUGAGACACGGCCCAGACUCCUACGGGAGGCAGCAGUGGGGAAUAUUGCACAAUGGACGAAAGUCUGAUGCAGCAAUGCCGCGUGUGUGAAGAAGGCUCUAGGGUUGUAAAGCACUUUCAGUUAGGGAGGAAUAAGCAGGAUCAAUAAUCCUGACUAAUGACGUUACCUACAGAAGAAGUACCGGCUAACUCCGUGCCAGCAGCCGCGGUAAUACGGAGGGUACAAACGUUAAUCGGAAUUACUGGGCGUAAAGCGCACGUAGGUGGUUUAUUAAGUGGGAUGUGAAAGCCCCGGGCUUAACCUGGGAACUGCAUUCCAAACUGAUAGACUAGAGUACGAUAGAGGGGGGUAGAAUUCAGAGUGUAGCGGUGAAAUGCGUAGAUAUCUGAAGGAAUAUCAGUUGGCGAAGGCGGCCCUCUGGCUUGAUACUGAGGCUCAGGUGCGAAAGCGUGGGGAGCGAACAGGAUUAGAUACCCUGGUAGUCCACGCCGUAAACGAUGUCGACUAGCCGUUGGGGAGCUUGACUUCUUAGUGGCGCAGUUAACGCGAUAAGUCGACCGCCUGGGGAGUACGGCCGCAAGGUUAAAACUCAAAUGAAUUGACGGGGGCCCGCACAAGCGGUGGAGCAUGUGGUUUAAUUCGAUGCAACGCGAAGAACCUUACCUACUCUCGACAUCCAGUGAACAUUGCAGAGAUGCAUUGGUGCCUUCGGGAACAUUGAGACAGGUGCUGCAUGGCUGUCGUCAGCUCGUGUCGUGAGAUGUUGGGUUAAGUCCCGCAACGAGCGCAACCCUCAUCUUCAGUUGCCAUCGGGUCAUGCCGGGUACUCUGGAGAAACCGCCGGUGACAAGCCGGAGGAAGGCGGGGAUGACGUCAAGUCCUCAUGGCCCUUAUGGGCUGGGCUACACACGUGCUACAAUGGCGGUGACAAUGGGUCGCGACGGGGCAACCCCGAGCUAAUCCCCAAAAGCCGUCUCAGUUCGGAUUGCACUCUGCAACUCGAGUGCAUGAAGGUGGAAUCGCUAGUAAUCGUGGAUCAGCAUGCCACGGUGAAUACGUUCCCGGGCCUUGUACACACCGCCCGUCACACCAUGGGAGUUGGUUUUACCUGAAGCCGGUGCGCUAACCUUCGGGAGGCAGCCGUCCACGGUAGGGUCAGCGACUGGGGUG
rnacentral:rRNA from 1 species